rnacentral:rRNA from 1 species
AUUGAACGCUGGCGGCAUGCUUUACACAUGCAAGUCGAACGGUAACAGGCCGCAAGGUGCUGACGAGUGGCGAACGGGUGAGUAAUGCAUCGGAACGUGCCCAGUCGUGGGGGAUAACGCAGCGAAAGCUGCGCUAAUACCGCAUACGAUCUAUGGAUGAAAGCGGGGACCGUAAGGCCUCGCGCGAUUGGAGCGGCCGAUGUCAGAUUAGGUAGUUGGUGGGGUAAAGGCUCACCAAGCCAACGAUAUGUAGCUGGUCUGAGAGGACGACCAGCCACACUGGGACUGAGACACGGCCCAGACUCCUACGGGAGGCAGCAGUGUGGAAUUUUGGACAAUGGGCGCAAGCCUGAUCCAGCAAUGCCGCGUGCAGGAAGAAGGCCUUCGGGUUGUAAACUGCUUUUGUACGGAACGAAACGGUCCUGGUUAAUACCUGGGGCUAAUGACGGUACCGUAAGAAUAAGCACCGGCUAACUACGUGCCAGCCGCCGCAGUAACAC